CGUUAGACUUGAUCUAGAGUAUUUGAAGUAUCUAGAAAAUAAAUUUUGUGAUUUUUCGAUAUCAUUUACCUAGUGAUCGAAGUGGCUCAAAAUCAACGGCUGAAAAUAAAAAUCUUACAAAAUAUGAUGAUAUGACAUUAAAAUUUUAGAUCAAAGUUAUGAUCGUGUUUUAUAUGGUAUAAAGAAUUUUCUAUCAAAAUUUCAUGUGAUUUGGAUAUUUUUCUACACCGUUAAACUUGCAAACGGCUCACUACGGCCGUUAAAAUUAUUGAUUUUGGGCCCCUUCGAUCACUAGGCAAAUAAUAUCGAAAAAUCACAAAAUUUAUUUUCUAGAUACUUCAAAUACUCUAGAUCAACUCUAACGGAACCGAUCGUCAAUUCGAAAGUCCGAACAUCGAAAACAAUUUGGAAGCACGGAGGGCUCCGUGCUUCCAGAAGCAUAUCAGCUCACUCUCUCUCUCUCUCUCUCUCUCUAUAUAUAUAUAUUAUAUGUACAUAUAAAAGAGCAAAACAAUUAAUCUGUGUGUAGUUUAUCUAUGGGCGUGCGUAACUAACUGUUUCCUAACUUUUGGACGUGCAUUAUCACAUUUUUUGCCACGUAGCUUCUCACACGCCUACUACUCUCAAUGAAAAUGCACACCACCAAAACUUUGGCAUUUAUACAAUUAUGCAAAUAUAUACCCUCUCAAAAAAAAAAUUACUUAAAUUUUAUCAAAUAAUUUAAUAAAUUUUAUUUUUAUAAAAAUUAUUAAUUAUACAUGCAUUUUGAUCUAUUAUAUUAUAUAUAAUCUAAUAAUACUAUAAAACACAAAAAAAAAUUAAAGUUAGAUUCACUAUAUUCGUCAAUUCUGAUUAUUAAUUAUCAAAAAUGAUUUAAAAAAAAGUAGGUUUCUUCGUGUUUUGAACUAAUACAAAAU
rnacentral:lncRNA from 1 species